GGCGGGUCCAGCUGGGCGUCCUGGCAGCACGUGGCCUGGAGGCCUGCGAGGGGGCGUGCCCCACAUGGUGAGCUCGGUGGAACCGCAGACAAACUGCCUGCGAAACACCCAGUCCUCCCACCACACAGCCACUGUGCCACCCGGCAGCUGACCCUGAGCACUGGCCGGCCCGCUCAGCCCCUCUGCAGCCCGCCAUGGCUGGGAGACCCUCCCAGGCACGGCAAGGGAGAGCUGCAGCCAGCAGUCCAGGGGAGGCCGGUCGGGCUCUGGAGGUCCUCCAGGUCACGGGGCUAGUGGGCAGGGCAGGGGGUAUGACUGCAGCCUGAGGCCUCACCGCUGCUGGGUCAGGGGCUCUCCCAGGGCCAGAGUCCCCGAGAAGGCCACAGCCAACCGGCCUGCCUCCUGCCGCAUGAACCCUGCCCCACCUCAUGCCAACGCUCUCUGGAAGGCAACCUGGCCAGCUGGUAAUGGGCAAGGCUCCCAAGAGGCGGCGAGUCCAAAUUCCACACUGCGGGCUCGCGGGGAGGCCGGACUCAGCACACACGGGGCCCUCGGCCCAGAGCCGGCCCCCAGACACUAGCACACAGUAUCCACACUCAGCACCGGGCCUGGCCCUGGGCACUGGGGGCGUGGGACCCCCAGACACAGCUUCUGCUGGGCUGGGCAGGCGUCUGCCUGGACCCCCGCGGUGCAGGAAGGGCAGAGGCUGUGGGAGCCAGACAGAGCAGGGGAGGGGCACAGAGGCUUCAGGGGGUGUCCCCUCAGCCGCCAUCGUGGGGGCGGCGGGUGCCAGCAGGGCACACUGAGGCAUGAGCACUCCCAGGGAGGGACAGUGAGUGAGGGCUGACCAAGGUCCAAGCUGCAAACCUGUAUCCAGGAGGCCCCUGGCAGCUGGGACCAGGUGGGGGGUCAGGCUGAGCCCGAUCCCUGACAGCGGAGCGAGGGCUCUGCAGGACGAGGUCGGAGCAUGCGGGUGGAGUGGGGGAGCCACGGGCCUCUCCAGCGCCUCCAGGGUUGUCCUCCCUGGCCCCGGGGCUGCCAAAGGCCCUUCUCCAGAGGAAGAGGCCAGGCAGGGGCUGGGUCCCCAGACGCCGGGGCGGAAGCCAGAACAAUGGAAUCCCCUGCGUUUGGAGCCCGUCCAGCACAGUUCAUAUUUUCCAUGAGAGCAGGCGGGGAGAGGAGAGAGUGCGAGGCCGGGUUUCCCCAGCCCCCGCCCGGACGCUCGGCCAGCCCGGCGCCUGGUCCCCACAGUCCGCUGGCCACAGCAGAGCCGCAGGAGUGCUGCUGUCAAGCUGGCUGCGGCGGAGGUGCCCUGUGGCUCUGGAGGCUGGGAAGGAUGCCACGGCGCCAGCCCGCCAGCCAGAACGACAGGUGCACACCUCAGAUUUGCCCAGCACCCCCAGCCAGCCGCCUUGCUUAUCCAGGGGGCCUCUGGGAGCCAAGGAAAUCAGCAGGGGUGGCCUCAGAGGGGCCAGGGAUGCGGUGCAAGGCCCGGCACGGCCCCACCACGGUCUCUCGCUCAGCGCCUAUUUGCUCUCACUUCAUACACAGUACUCACAAGGCUGGUCUCUGCGGCCCAAGCCCAAGGCAGACCGGAACUCAGUGAUACUGACUUGACACUAAAAUAUGGUUGAAAUGGUUCUGUGUACUCUGCCACAGCACAGACGGUUACAUGAGAAGGGGCCUCACUCAGUGGGCCCCUGACCACGUCUCUCCUUUCCUCGGCCCCCCUCCCUCCCCUCCCCUCUCCUCCC
ensembl:lincRNA